CUCAGGUGUUCAGUACGCAGAGGGAGCCACAACAGUGAGACGCAUCUCGUGGACUUUUGUGUGUUUGUGCUUAUUUGUGUGUAAAUGCCUAUGAAACCACAUACAUAUUCAUACAUACAAACACUCACUCAUCUUCUGCUCACUAUCAUACCUGGAUGUAUACUGCCUCAUGUGGAUGCAAUAAAACAGUUCUUCAUCAAAUCUUUGGAUCAGCUGCAGUCUUGCUGACCGAAGACUUAGGCCAGACUUGUGUAAAGCCAGUAUACAGUUUCAUAAUAUUCCACAAUGAGGAAGUAAGAAAAGUGAGCUAACACUUUACUUCAUCAACACGUCAGAGAGAAAUUACAUGAUUUCAUCACGUCUGCUGCUGUGUUUCGUAGAAGAGAAAGCUGUUUUGUCAUGUUCUCUGCAUCUAAUGCCACAUAGUGGCAGUUUCUUCUCUCUCUCUGUCUCUCUCCAGGUGGCGUGAGCUUGGUGUGUGAGCAGGUGUUGCUCAUCGGUUAUCACAGGCAGGUGGGAAUAAUCAGCAACUACCACCUUCUCCAUAUAAGCGGGGCACAGCCAUCACUCUUUGCUGGAUUGUUGUACUAGUCAGUGUUGUUGCUUUUUUUGUCCAGCUCCUGAGUCUUCCGUCGUUCUAAUCGUGUUUCUCUGUUUCCCAGUUCACAUCCUGCCUCAUUCACUCACCUCUGCAGCACUGGCUUGUCUCCGUCUCACCUCCAGCCGUACACCGGAACGCCAUUCCUCUGCAGCACCUGUUCUUCUCUGUCACUGCUCCAGCCACACACCACCUCCAGCAUCUGGACCCACUUCCUUCCCGGUCCUGUUCUUCCACAGUCUGUUCCCUGCUCUUCCCGGUACCCAAUCAUAGUUAGUUUCUAGUAAUCGUAGUUUUGUGUCAGCUUGAGCUGUUUCACGAAUUCCUGUUAAUAGUGUUUUCUGAUUCCAUGACUACUCUCCUCUAGUUUAGUGUUUAUUGUUCUGGCCACAUACAGAUUUAGUCGGUUAUUGGUUGAGUAGUCCUUUUGAUUUAGUCUUUUCUGCCACUGUUACAGUGUUUGGGCUAUGACAGUUUCCUCUGGUUAUCUUAUGUAGUUUAGCUUACCUGUUAUUUAGCCUCCCACCAUUAGCGGUCUUCCUUGAGUUAUAGAUAGCUUUGUUUUGCUUAAGUAAUUUCUCCUGUAAUUGAAUCUCUCUCCUAAUAAAUAUUAUUGUAUUGCAUUCUCUGUGGACUGGUUGUGAUUGCCUGCACGUGAGUCUCUGCUUCUGGAGCAUAACAUGUUUACUGUCCCCUCUCUCAAGUAUAAUAUGGAAACAUGGAAUCACACAUAAGUACAGAAUUCACUGAGUGUCCACUUUAUCAGGUUCACCUGUUCAAUUGCUUGUUAAUCAGCCAAUCACAUGGCAGCAACUCAGUGCAUUUAGGCCUGUAGACAUGAUCCAGACGACCUGCUGAAGUUCAAACUGAGCAUCAGAAUGGGGAAGAAAGAAGAUUGAAGUGACUUUAAAUGUGGCAUGGUUGUUGGUACCAGAUGGGCUGGUCUGACUAUUUCAGAAACAAAGAUUUUCACACACAAACAUCUCUAGGGCUUACAGAGAGUGGUCCAAAAAGAGAAGAUAUCCAGUGAGCAGUAGUUCUCUGGGAGAAAAUGCCUUGUUGAUGGCAGAGUUCAGAGGAGAAUGGAGAUUGGUUCCAGGUAAUAGGAAGACAACAGUGAUUCAGAUAACCACUGGUUACAACCAAG
ensembl:lncRNA